UCUAAACAAUGCGGGGUGCUCGAUAAUCUGUUUGAGUUAAAACGAGACUCGCAUCUCAAUGAUCGUUGAAAUGAAAAAAAAACUUGUGAUCGAUGCAGAAGAGAACGAAGAGGAGAAUGAUUUUGUGACCGACUGCAUGUGGCACGAAAUAUUACUUGUUUUAAUAAAGGAUCGAACAAUUUUCAAGAAGCUUCGCGAUAUAUAUGUGUAAAAUGCUUGCGGGCAGUAGAAUUGUGCUUGGCCGCACGAAUGUCGUGACAAGAUACCACGUACGGCCACUGAUAAGCAAUCUACGUAAAACAGACGUAAGAUUCCUAGCGUUUCGCAGAGAGCGUUUAAUUUCUAUUUUGUAACUUAAAACGAUUUUUUAUUAUUGCAACUUGAAACAAUGAUCGAACAGAUUAAAUAAACAGACAAAAAAUAGAUGUACAAAAAAGUGUUUUAUUAUUUUUUUGUAGUAAACUCGUGCGUUCAAUCGAAAUGUUUUUACAGAAAAUAAACAGACAAAUAGAUGUACAAAAGUGUUUUUUUUUUUUUAAAGUAAACUCGUGCGUUCAAUCGAAAUGUUUUUACAGAAAAAUAAAAAAUACAAUCCAGUCUGCGCACUAAACUAUUGACAUUUCCAAGAAGGAUGUCAAGGUUCUAAGAGGCCCCUUCUUUCUUUUUGUACACUUUUUGAGAGCCUCUCUCCUGUCAAUUCAAAAUUUUCAUCUAACAAAUUUGUUUUAACAAAUACGUUGAUAUGUCGUGAUCAACUGUCGACAACGGACAAAAAUUUACAUCGCUCCUUUUUAUUCACAUACAUUUAUCUUGAAACAGCCCACAGUGCGAAUUGAUUGGUAUGAUUACACAUUAACACAAAUAAAGCGAGAUUCUCUCUCCUUCUUCUCGAUUCGACGACGAGAAUUUCCCACAAUGUACGACGCGGAAUUCAAUAAUACGCGGAAUUGAAAUAUUACAACUUCGGGCACAAGGUCGCCUAUGUUUACAUUAUCCAUUAACGCCGGGUUCAAUUCACCUUCAACCGGUGUGUACUCUCAUGUGUAAAUAGC